AGAGUUUGAUCAGGCUCAGGAUGGACGCUAGUACAGGGCUUAACACAUGCAAGUCGAGGGGGAAACGAUAGAGAAAGCUGCUUUUUCUAGGCGUCGACCGGGCGCACGGGUGAGUAACGCGUAUCCAACCUGCCCACCACUUGGGGAUAACCUUGCGAAAGUAAGACUAAUACCCAAUGACGUCUCUAGAAGACAUCUGAAAGGGAUUAAAGAUUUAUCGGUGAUGGAUGGGGAUGCGUCUGAUUAGCUUGUUGGCGGGGUAACGGCCCACCAAGGCAACGAUCAGUAGGGGUUCUGAGAGGAAGGUCCCCCACAUUGGAACUGAGACACGGUCCAAACUCCUACGGGAGGCAGCAGUGAGGAAUAUUGGUCAAUGGGUGAGAGCCUGAACCAGCCAAGUAGCGUGCAGGAUGACGGCCCUAUGGGUUGUAAACUGCUUUUAUAAGGGAAUAAAGUGAGCCUCGUGAGGCUUUUUGCAUGUACCUUAUGAAUAAGGACCGGCUAAUUCCGUGCCAGCAGCCGCGGUAAUACGGAAGGUCCGGGCGUUAUCCGGAUUUAUUGGGUUUAAAGGGAGCGUAGGCCGGAGAUUAAGCGUGUUGUGAAAUGUAGAUGCUCAACAUCUGCACUGCAGCGCGAACUGGUUUCCUUGAGUACGCACAAAGUGGGCGGAAUUCGUGGUGUAGCGGUGAAAUGCUUAGAUAUCACGAAGAACUCCGAUUGCGAAGGCAGCUCACUGGAGCGCAACUGACGCUGAAGCUCGAAAGUGCGGGUAUCGAACAGGAUUAGAUACCCUGGUAGUCCGCACGGUAAACGAUGGAUGCCCGCUGUUGGUCUGAAUAGGUCAGCGGCCAAGCGA
rnacentral:rRNA from 1 species